UACGUAGGUGGCGAGCGUUGUUCGGAAUCACUGGGCAUAAAGCGCACGUAGGCGGCGGCGUAAGUUGGAUGUGAAAUCCCCCGGCCCAACCGGGGAACUGCGUCCAGUACUGCGUUGCUUGAGGAUCCAAGGGGUGCAUGGAAUUCCCGGUGGAGCGGUGAAAUGCGUUGAUAUCGGGAGGAACUCCGGCGGCGAAAGCGGUGCACUGGUGGAUUACUGACGCUGAGGUGCGAAAGCCAGGGGAGCAAACGGG
rnacentral:rRNA from 1 species